GCCUCGCCUGACUGCCCCUGGACUGGCAGUGCCAGCUCUACCUUGAAUCCCGCUUUGGUAGUCCUUUGGGUGUAACCUGUUUUUUUUGGGUUACUGGACACUUUUUAAUGCGUUUGUCAAAGGACAUAAGCUUAUUUCGUAACUAUAGAGUCUUUUCUUUGGACCCUCAAAUCUUCAGUACUUUUUCUUGUCACAGCAUCUGAGAUCCAGCAGCAUUUUGGGUAGUGAGCCUUUACUGUAGCAAUUACCGCAGGGAAUUAUAAUAUUUGUUUAUUCUUCAUUCCCACCUCCGCCCUUACUCUGCACACUGAAACUUCCGGUCGGUCUGGACUGUUUACCUUUGUACCCGCGGAGGAGCUGCUCUGCCGCUGAGACGCAGUCAGAAGCCAGUAAUAAAUGACGCGGUCACACAGCGCAGUGAGCAAGCCCAUAUAUGCUGACGGAUCCAGGACACAAUACCACGAGGACCUAGCUACACAGGGUCCACACUGGAGGAGACAACCAAGACACUGCCAGAAUCUGCUUGUGCAGGAAAAAAGAAAAAAAAAUCUGACCUGGGCUUUAAAUUUGGACUUACAAGCUUUAACCUUGAGAAAGUCAUGUAUCUUUCUGGGUCUCAGCUUCCUUAUCUGUAAAAUGGGCUCCAUGUUAGUACUUGUGUCAUUGCAUGUUGUGGGGACCUCAGCUUCCCUUUGCUGGAACAGGAAGGCAUCUACAGAGGGGAAGAGGACUGGGAAGUUCAUCAGAUUGAGGUGGACAGUGAGGCACAGCAGGGGCAGCCAGACCGUGCGGUGCCAGGGCCUCUCCCCUCCAGAGGGCGUGGCUCCUCUUGGAUCUCCGCAUCCCAGCCCGCUGACCCAGCGCCUGGCUGGCAGCCCUGGAGGCAUGGGCCCAGCUGGUGGCAGGAGCCCUGGACAGGGGAAGGAGCAACUGGGAAACCCAUGACCCCCCUCAAAUGUAUGGGGUGCAGUGGUGGGGAGAAUACUUCCCCUUCCUGGCCCUAGCCCCAGAGCCAGCACCUCCUUAGACCUGGCUCCCUGGGUCUGCCCAAACCUCCCUGCAGAUUCCUCUUGGCUCCCUGCUGGUUGCUCCAGCUCACAUGUGCUGCUUUCGAAUAAAGGAACUUGGAACCACAGAAACUGGGUCAGGCCCAAUGGACAAAUCAGCCAGCAAAAGCAGUUUGCCGGUCUUCGGGAGC
rnacentral:lncRNA from 1 species